rnacentral:rRNA from 1 species
AUGGUCAUAAAACUUGACUUUAGCAAAGCCUUCGACUUUCUCUCAUGGGAUUCACUUUCCUCCAUCCUUCACUGCCGCGGCUUCCCACCCAAAUUCUCCGCAUGGAUCCAGGAACUCCUAUCAACAGGAAAAACGACUGUCGUGUUGAACGGGAUCCCUGGGAACUGGAUAAAUUGCAAGAACGGUCUUCGGCAGGGGGACCCCAUUUCCCCC